UACGGGGGGGGCAAGCGUUGUUCGGAAUUACUGGGCGUAAAGGGCUCGUAGGCGGCCAACUAAGUCCGACGUGAAAUCCCCAGGCUUAACCUGGGAACUGCGUCGGAUACUGGAUGGCUUGAAUCCGGGAGAGGGAUGCGGAAUUCCAGGUGUAGCGGUGAAAUGCGUAGAUAUCUGGAGGAACACCGGUGGCGAAAGCGGCAUCCUGGACCGGCAUUGACGCUGAGGAGCGAAAGCCAGGGGAGCAAACGGG
rnacentral:rRNA from 1 species